rnacentral:lncRNA from 1 species
GCCUGGUUAUGUGAACUAUCUCACUGGUAUGCCAAGGCUGUCCAGGGUUUAGCAUCAAAGAUCCACAUUCAGGAAACCCUGUAGGGAUGGCUGGCCACUGUGGCUCUCUUUUAGUCCCUCUGGGUCUUAGAAGUUACUUUGGAGCAAAAAUCAACUGAUAAGUAUUUUUGCCAAUGCUCACAGCUGGUGUAGUAGGUGUUGCUGAGGCCGCCAUCUUAUAAGGAAACUGAGGUCGAGAGAGGAGUUCCACUGUGGGGAGGCUUGGAGCUGGCUAUUUCCUGCUUUUGGGGCACCUGGGCCUCAUUUUGCUCAAUGGAGAAAUAAUGCUCUCUGUCCUAGGCAAGUCUAGAUUCAGUCACUUAGUACCAAGGCCAAGUACCCAUCUGACGGCUUGUGGAUAAAAGGUAUCCUGCGGCACCUUUGGGAAUGGCAGUGACACUGAGACCCAGAGAUGUCCAGUGUCCUGGGCCAAGUAACAUAAUGGAGGCAGAAACAGCAUUAAAACACCACAGGGGCUGCAGGCACUGGAACCUUCCAGCCUCUAACCCUCCUCCACAGCUCGGAAGACCUAGAAAGAACACCACAGCUCUGCUGGCUAGAACCAGUUAACAGGUCAAGGUCCUGGCACAGGCUCAAGCAAAGGUCUCCAGUCCACAGAGCUCUUUCUCUACACAUGCAGCUCUGGGUACGAAUGAAUACAUGUUAUCAGUGUGGUAGGCAGGGGCCAUAUAAAGGUUGAUUCAUGAGGCUGAGACCUUCGUGGGGUUCAGGUGCAGUCUGGUGGGGGAGACAGACACAAUGUGGUGACCUUAGGUGUUAGUCACACAGAGAGCCAUCCAGGGAGAGGCAACAGGGUUGGUGUGAUGUGGUGUGGUGUGGUGGCAGCGGUGGGAGAGGGUAGAGCAUUGCUACGGAAACGUGGAGUGCCAGGGGAGGGUUGUGAGAAUAAGACUUGCUGGCUGACCUCAAGGGACCCUAAGGAGCUUCAGCGGGAUGGCUGCAGGGCCCGAGGAAGGAAAGGCCCUCCGGGUGGCUCUGAGGUAUCUAGGGCACAGGGUGCUAGCUACCUCCAUGGGGAAGCCUCAGGUACAAGGCUCAGGUCUGCUAUUCUUCAUGACCCUAGGCGUGUUCCUUCCUUCUGAGACUCCCAUUUCAUCCCUUCAUCUACAUAAAGUAGCCGCUACGGCACAACAGAGUACCUGCACUCUGCACAGGCUAAACUCUGUCUUUUCUUUCUUUCUUUUCCUGGUUGCUUAUGGUCCCUGAUUUGGCUGAGGGUCCUAGUUUCUUCGUCUGAGAACCCAGGAACUGCUUCUCUGUGUUUGUGGCUAUAUGGGCUGUGGCAAGCUGAUGCACCCUUUAGUCGGCAUCUUGGAAAAGCAUGGCACCAGCCUCCUUGGAUUCCCAAGACAUCCCUGGCUGCCCAAGGGCCUUUGAGGAUUGCACCUCUGUGUGGAUUCCCUUGUCCUUGGCCACUUCCCUGCCUCCUCCAUGCCUCCCGCUGGUCACCCUGUCAUAUCACCAGACGGAUGCUUGCCAGGGCCUGUGAAGAAGUUCCUGAAGAAGUUCCUUUCUGGGCUGUCAGAUGGCUCAGUGGGUAAGAGCACCUGACUGCUCUUCUGAAGGUCCAGAGUUCAAAUCCCAGCAACCACAGGUGGCUCA